GGGCGCCGCACCUGAGGCGGCGGGAGGGCGGUGGGACCGUCUGUCCUUCAGGACCCUCAGCGAGCCCUACAGCCCUCUAAACGUCUGUGAAAUCGUGGUCUUCUUUUAAUGAAGAUAUUUCCUAAAUAGAUUCCAAGUGUCAACACCAAACCUUCCAAGUUCAUCAUAUAUUACUUGAUAUGCUAUAUUCUCGCCCCACUUGAUAUGGAGCUGAAUAAGUUUGAACUGAUCUUUAUGUUCAUUGACCUGGAUAUCAAAUGAAGUCUUCUGCCUUGGUAAGCCUCUUGUCAGUGAUGGGAUGGAAACUCAGUUCCCUGUGCCUUGCAAACUCAGGAAGAAUGGCCUGGAUGAGUGUACAGUGAGGUGGAUUGAGAACUGACUGAAUGGCAACCUCACAGGGUUGUGAUCAGUGGCACAGUUGCAGGGAUGAAGAGGUAGAUGCCUCCUCAGUGAGUUUACUGAUGAUACAUAACUGGGAGGACCCAUCCCCCCAAGUGCUCUGCCACCCUUCAGAAGACCCUGACAGGCCGGAGGGAUUGGCAGAGCAGAACAUUGUGAAAUUUCACAAAGGCAAAUGCAGGGUCUUGCACCCGGAGAAGAAUAACCCCAUGUACCAGGACAGGCUGGGGGCUGACCUGCUGGAAAACAG